rnacentral:rRNA from 1 species
UACGUAGGUCGCAAGCGUUGUCCGGAUUUAUUGGGCGUAAAGAGCGUGUAGGCGGCUUCACAGGUCCGCUGUGAAAACUCGAGGCUCAACCUCGAGAUGUCGGUGGAAACCGUGUGGCUAGAGUCCGGAAGAGGAGAGUGGAAUUCCCGGUGUAGCGGUGAAAUGCGCAGAUAUCGGGAAGAACACCCGUGGCGAAGGCGGCUCUCUGGGACGGUACUGACGCUGAGACGCGAAAGCGUGGGGAGCGAACAGG